UACGUAGGGUGCGAGCGUUGUCCGGAUUUAUUGGGCGUAAAGAGCUCGUAGGCGGUUUGUCGCGUCGGCCGUGAAAUCUCCACGCUUAACGUGGAGCGUGCGGUCGAUACGGGCAGACUUGAGUUCGGCAGGGGAGACUGGAAUUCCUGGUGUAGCGGUGAAAUGCGCAGAUAUCAGGAGGAACACCGGUGGCGAAGGCGGGUCUCUGGGCCGAUACUGACGCUGAGGAGCGAAAGCGUGGGGAGCAAACAGG
rnacentral:rRNA from 1 species